rnacentral:rRNA from 1 species
GACAGAGGAUGCAAGCGUUAUCCGGAAUGAUUGGGCGUAAAGCGUCUGUAGGUGGCUUUCCAAGUCUUUUGUCAAAUCCCAGAGCUUAACUUUGGAUCGGCACGAGAAACUCGAGAGCUUGAGUACGGUAGGGGCAGAGGGAAUUCCCGGUGUAGCGGUGAAAUGCGUAGAGAUCGGGAAGAACACCGAUGGCGAAAGCACUCUGCUGGGCCGUUACUGACACUGAGAGACGAAAGCUAAGGGAGCGAAUGAGG